AGAACGAACGCUGGCGGCAUGCCUAAUACAUGCAAGUCGAACGAACACUUCGGUGUUAGUGGCGCACGGGUGCGUAACGCGUGGGAAUCUGCCCUUGGGUUCGGAAUAACAGUUGGAAACGACUGCUAAUACCGGAUGAUAUCGAAAGAUCAAAGAUUUAUCGCCCAGGGAUGAGCCCGCGUAGGAUUAGCUAGUUGGUGAGGUAAAGGCUCACCAAGGCGACGAUCCUUAGCUGGUCUGAGAGGAUGAUCAGCCACACUGGGACUGAGACACGGCCCAGACUCCUACGGGAGGCAGCAGUGGGGAAUAUUGGACAAUGGGCGAAAGCCUGAUCCAGCAAUGCCGCGUGAGUGAUGAAGGCCUUAGGGUCGUAAAGCUCUUUACCCGGGAUGAUAAUGACAGUACCGGAGAAUAAGCUCCGCUAACUCCGUGCCAGCACGCCGAC
rnacentral:rRNA from 1 species